GAGUUUGAUCCUGGCUCAGGACGAACGCUGGCGGCGUGCUUAACACAUGCAAGUCGAACGGAAAGGCCCCGCUUGCGGGGUACUCGAGUGGCGAACGGGUGAGUAACACGUGGGUGAUCUACCCUGCACUUCGGGAUAAGCCUGGGAAACUGGGUCUAAUACCGGAUAGGACCCCUCUUUAGUGUGGGGGGUGGAAAGUUUUUUCGGUGUGGGAUGAGCCCGCGGCCUAUCAGCUUGUUGGUGGGGUAAUGGCCUACCAAGGCGUCGACGGGUAGCCGGCCUGAGAGGGUGGACGGCCACAUUGGGACUGAGAUACGGCCCAGACUCCUACGGGAGGCAGCAGUGGGGAAUAUUGCACAAUGGGCGGAAGCCUGAUGCAGCGACGCCGCGUGGGGGAUGACGGCCUUCGGGUUGUAAACCUCUUUCGCUAGGGACGAAGCUUUUGUGACGGUACCUAGAUAAGAAGCACCGGCUAACUACGUGCCAGCAGCCGCGGUAAUACGUAGGGUGCGAGCGUUGUCCGGAAUUACUGGGCGUAAAGAGCUCGUANGUGGUUUGUCGCGUCGUCUGUGAAAUUCCGGGGCUUAACUUCGGGCGUGCAGGCGAUACGGGCAAUACUUGAGUGCUGUAGGGGAGACUGGAAUUCCUGGUGUAGCGGUGGAAUGCGCAGAUAUCAGGAGGAACACCGAUGGCGAAGGCAGGUCUCUGGGCAGUAACUGACGCUGAGGAGCGAAAGCAUGGGUAGCGAACAGGAUUAGAUACCCUGGUAGUCCAUGCCGUAAACGGUGGGCGCUAGGUGUAGGGGUCUUCCACGACUUCUGUGCCGUAGCUAACGCAUUAAGCGCCCCGCCUGGGGAGUACGGCCGCAAGGCUAAAACUCAAAGGAAUUGACGGGGGCCCGCACAAGCGGCGGAGCAUGUGGAUUAAUUCGAUGCAACGCGAAGAACCUUACCUGGGCUUGACAUACACCGGACCGGGCCAGAGAUGGUCUUUCCCUUGUGGCUGGUGUACAGGUGGUGCAUGGUUGUCGUCAGCUCGUGUCGUGAGAUGUUGGGUUAAGUCCCGCAACGAGCGCAACCCUUGUCUUAUGUUGCCAGCACGUAGUGGUGGGGACUCAUGAGAGACUGCCGGGGUCAACUCGGAGGAAGGUGGGGAUGACGUCAAAUCAUCAUGCCCCUUAUGUCCAGGGCUUCACACAUGCUACAAUGGUCGGUACAACGCGUUGCGACACUGUGAGGUGGAGCUAAUCGCUGAAAGCCGGCCUCAGUUCGGAUUGGGGUCUGCAACUCGACCCCAUGAAGUCGGAGUCGCUAGUAAUCACAGAUCAGCAACGCUGCGGUGAAUACGUUCGCCGGGCCUGUACACACCGCCCGUC
rnacentral:rRNA from 1 species